GUUCCAAGUUUUGAGUUUAUCUUAAACACUUGUUACAUGGCACCUGAUACUUUAUUACGAUUUCUAGUGGCGGACGGGUGAGUAACACGUUGGAACCUGCCCCAAAGUGAGGAAUAAGCCACCGAAAGGUGGUCUAAUACUUCAUAAUAUCCAUCUCGUAUGGAUUAAAGCUUUAUGCGCUUUGGGAGGGGCCUGCGUAACAUUAGCUUGUUGGUGAGGUAAAAGCUCACCAAGGCUUCGAUGUUUAACUGGUUUGAGAGGAUGACCAGUCACACUGGGACUGAGAUACGGCCCAGACUCCUACGGGAGGCAGCAGUAAGGAAUCUUCCACAAUGGGGCAACCCUGAUGGAGCAAUACCGCGUGCAGGAUGAAGCGUUUCGGCGUGUAAACUGCUUUUAUCACCGAAGAUUAUGACUGUAGGUGAAGAAUAAGGACCGGCUAACUACGUG
rnacentral:rRNA from 1 species